GUAUGCAUCAGCUAACUUUGAUUUAAAAAAAAAAAAAAAAAAAAAAAAAAAACGGAGCCGGAGGGGGGGGGGGGGGGUUGGGGGGAGUUUACAAAUUACACCGCGAUUAGCCGGGAUCCUUCGGAGGGGGGGGGGGGGGGGGGGAGAGCGAGGGAGGAAGGGGGGCCCGCGGUUAAAGUCACUUCGGCAAAGUUUGCUCGGCGGCAGCCCUCGAAAACACAAAGUUUCUGGGCGAGUUGAGGGCAGGGGCGGUGCGGCUCGCCGUGCGGAGGGCAGCCCCCGGCCGAGGCACCCCGCGCCCGGCAGCCCGGCUCCGCUCCGCGAAGUAACGGUUCGAAAAGAAACGAGCGAGAAAGAGGCAAAACAAUCACCCCCUUCAUUGAUACCGAUCACCCAACAUCACAAGACAUCCCCAUCUCUCAGCGUGGACUCCCCCUAUCUGGGUGAAACUGGAAUGAAAUGGUCCAUCCAAGUCUUACUGAGACUGACAGGCUGGAGACCUGGCUUUGAAGUUUUCUAUGGACAAAAGUGGUUACUUUUGUAUUUCUACUGAAGAAUCUAUGCAUAACCAGAUGAAUUCAAAGACAAUGAAGAAUUCUGCAGAAGACUGCUCUACAAACAUCUGGAAAUACACAGAAAUCCACACUGAAGGGCAUGGUGCUGGGCAUGCAGCUGAGAGGGAGGGUGCAAAGUCAGAUGCUGCAUGGAAAAUCGUGAGCCCUCAGAAGUCCCAACCUGCCCUUCGUGCUCUUCCUGCUGCAAGGAUUUUGCCUACGGUUUUAGAAUGCUUCUGCCACUUCCGUUGAUGCUGAGGUCGGCCAUGCCAUGCCCCAGCACAGGCAUCACAUUCAGGGCCCCGUGCUGCUUGACUGACCAAGACAUGACAGAGCCGUCUUUCAUUAAUGUUACAAAAAUGCUGGCAGGAGUAAACAAGCAACACUUCAUGGAUUUGGGUUUAUAAUUUCACUUCCUCUCAACGCUACUACUUACCACAGCUUCUCUGUGAUUCUUUUAACUUGCACUUGGUAGAUCUUAGUUGAGGAAAGAAGGGAAAAAAAAAAACAACUUUUAUCCAGUGAGACACUUUAUCAAGAAAAUUCUACAAGAAAUUGGUUGUUACCUGCGGAUAACAACUGGUUUGUUAGUUAAUGGCUAGAGGCAAAGCCAAGGCCAGUUAAUGCUCCAGCUGUCCAGUCAUUAACUGCAGUAAAGACUGAUUUUGAGGAGGUUAUUGCCGUGAUAAAAUAUCCUCAAAAGAUUAUAACAGCAAUAGUGUACAGAGAAAAAAAGUAUUAGUGGCUAUAGUGUGACUGAAUGGCUGCAUUUGAAAAAUUGGUCAUUCCCUGGCGGUUCAUAACCGAUUUUCCACCAGUCAAAAAGCAAGUUGUGCUCUGUUAGGUUUAUUGUACAAGGCAAUAAAAAUAUUGGCCAGGUUAAAUUGUCAGCGUGUUAUGACAUUAACCAUUCUUUUACUGUGCUUAAUUUAAGUGUUACUAUGAUUCAUUACAGAAAGAAACUGUCCUUUGCAAGUAAACAGGGGCAUUUCAGCACUGAGAACAGAUAGCAAUAAUAAAUCUGAA
ensembl:lncRNA